CAUAUACAGAAAAUGACAUAUCCUUCCACUCUCUUAGAAUCAUUUUUAUUUUUUUAACCUUAUCCAUCCACCACAUACCACAAACUCUGCACCAAGCUUUACAUGCAUAUUAAUAAUGUUCUGAUUAUUAUAUUCUCUCUACGUGUACAUGAGAAUAAGUGAGUUAAUAUUAAAAUAGUGAAUAAGUAAAAGUGAACGGGCAAACAAUCACAUAUAGAUGUUCUGAAUAGUAACAGCAGUUUGUAGCAGAUAGAUAAGUGAAAGGUGGCCAUUACAAAUAUCUUGUGUUUCGGAAAUGGCAACUUCUUUAGCUUCUCAACUUUCUGGUCCAAAAUCCGCCAUUUCCUUUUCCUCUCCACCACACUUUUCUGGUCUCCGUCCAUCUUCUAAUUUCAAGCUUGACAAUACUCACUCUUUUUUCCAAAAUGUUGACUCUCACAAAGGUUGCAGACCCGUCGUCUCCAUGGCUGGCUCCGGAAAGUUCUUUGUUGGUGGCAACUGGAAAUGUAAUGGAACAAAGGACUCCAUAAGCAAGCUUGUAUCUGAUCUGAACAGUGCGAAACUCGAGUCAGAUGUUGAUGUGGUUGUUGCACCUCCCUUUCUGUACAUUGAUCAAGUGAAGAGUUCACUAACUGAUAGGAUUGAGAUUUCUGGUCAGAAUUGCUGGACUGGCAAAGGUGGAGCUUUCACGGGUGAAAUCAGCGUGGAACAGUUGAAAGAUAUUGGCUGCAAGUGGGUCAUUCUUGGUCAUUCUGAGCGGAGACAUGUAAUUGGAGAAAAUGAUGAAUUUAUUGGGAAGAAGGCCGCUUAUGCCUUAAGCCAGAAUGUUGGAGUGAUAGCCUGUAUUGGAGAGCUAUUGGAAGAAAGAGAAGCUGGAAAAACUUUUGAUGUAUGUUUCAACCAGUUGAAGGCUUUUGCCGAUGCUUUACCAAGUUGGGAUGAUGUGGUCAUCGCAUAUGAGCCUGUAUGGGCUAUUGGAACUGGUAAAGUGGCGUCACCUGAGCAGGCUCAGGAGGUCCAUGCAGCUGUUCGUGAUUGGCUAAGUAAGAAUGUUUCUGCAGAAGUUGCUUCUAAAACACGCAUCAUAUAUGGAGGCUCUGUGAACGGAGGCAACUCUUCUGACCUGGCAAAGAAAGAAGAUAUUGAUGGCUUUCUAGUUGGGGGUGCUUCUUUAAAGGGUCCUGAGUUUGCCACCAUUAUUAAUUCUGUAACAUCCAAGAAGGUAGCUGCUUGAUCAUUUGUCACGGGUUGUAGUCGUGGAAAUAAAUGCGUAGAGAAAUAGCAGUGCUGGAAGCAUCAGAUGGCUAAUUUAUGAAGGAGUUUUAUCUAGUGGAAUUUUGGUUCUCCCCCGUCAGUGAGUAACACAUACUCAUUGGGUGAAUAACAGGAGGAAGGAAAGCGCUGUCUUGUGGAGCUCCAAAGCGGAAUAUUUGAUUUGUCCAUAACUUUAUGAGCAGGAGGAUCAUCAAUAACAAUAUCAUUGUUAUUAUCAACAUCAACAUGAUGAUUCGAUGCAUGAUUAUGGGCGUCACCAUGAUCAUCAAACCCAAUUAAACCGUGUAUACUUAUGUGAGGAACUUCAUCAUGAUGAAAUAUACCAUCAAAACUUGAGAUUCUA